GAUCCUGGCUCAGGACGAACGCUGGCGGCGUGCCUAACACAUGCAAGUCGAACGAAGCUCGAUGCUUUGAGGUUUCGGCCAAGGAGCAAAGAUGACUUAGUGGCGAACGGGUGAGUAAUGCGUGAGCAACCUGCCUUUCAGAGGGGGACAACAGUUGGAAACGACUGCUAAUACCGCAUAAUGUAUCCGGUAGGCAUCUAUUGGAUACCAAAGGAGCAAU
rnacentral:rRNA from 1 species